GAUGAACGCUGGCGGCGUGCCUAAUACAUGCAAGUCGAGCGAACAGACGAGGAGCUUGCUCCUCUGACGUUAGCGGCGGACGGGUGAGUAACACGUGGAUAACCUACCUAUAAGACUGGGAUAACUUCGGGAAACCGGAGCUAAUACCGGAUAAUAUAUUGAACCGCAUGGUUCAAUAGUGAAAGACGGUUUUGCUGUCACUUAUAGAUGGAUCCGCGCCGCAUUAGCUAGUUGGUAAGGUAACGGCUUACCAAGGCGACGAUGCGUAGCCGACCUGAGAGGGUGAUCGGCCACACUGGAACAGAGACACGGUCCAGACUCCUACGGGAGGCAGCAGUAGGGAAUCGUCCGCAAUGGGCGAAAGCCUGACGGAGCAACGCCGCGUGAGUGAUGAAGGUCUUCGGAUCGUAAAACUCUGUUAUUAGGGAAGAACAAAUGUGUAAGUAACUAUGCACGUCUUGACGGUACCUAAUCAGAAAGCCACGGCUAACUACGUG
rnacentral:rRNA from 1 species